UGCAAGUCGUACGCGAGGGGGCAACCUCUCGAGUGGCGGACGGGUGAGUAACGCGUAGGUAUCUGUCCCUGGGUGGGGGAUAACCAUGGGAAACUGUGGCUAAUACCGCAUAUGUCCUGCGGGGCAAAGGCCCGAGAGGGUCGCCUGGGGGUGAGCCUGCGUCCGAUUAGCUUGUUGGUGGGGUAAAGGCCUACCAAGGCUGUGAUCGGUAGCUGGUCUGAGAGGAUGGUCAGCCACACUGGGACUGAGACACGGCCCAGACUCCUACGGGAGGCAGCAGUGGGGAAUAUUGGACAAUGGGCGAAAGCCUGAUCCAGCAAUGCCGCGUGGGUGAAGAAGGUCUUCGGAUUGUAAAGCCCUUUCGGCGGGGACGAUGGUGACGGUACCCGCAGAAGAAGCCCCGGCUAACUUCGUGCCAGCAGCCGCGGUAAUACGAAGGGGGCUAGCGUUGCUCGGAAUGACUGGGCGUAAAGGGCGCGUAGGCGACUCUCAUCGUCGGGCGUGAAAUUCCUGGGCUUAACCUGGGGGCUGCGUUCGAUACGUGGGGGCUUGAGUGUGGGAGAGGGUCGUGGAAUUCCCAGUGUAGAGGUGAAAUUCGUAGAUAUUGGGAAGAACACCGGUGGCGAAGGCGGCGACCUGGUCCAUGACUGACGCUGAGGCGCG
rnacentral:rRNA from 1 species